GACGUCAUCGGAUGCGACGCGCGUUGGGAAUGAUAUCCAGGCUGCGGGCGCCCCUGUUUCCCCAACAGGUGCUGGGUGAGGCCUCGGAGUGACCCGGAGCCGGCAGAAGGGCACGGCCAGGAUCACCUACCGGGGCUGAAGGUGCCCCAGAAACCGUCGGAGACUGAGGAGGAGGCAGGAUGAGGCCUGAGCGCUGCUACUGGGGGUGCCCCUCGUGCUGGGGGUCAAAGCCUUGGCCUGUCUGGCCGGACCCUGGGCUGGACUUAAUGUACAGAGGUUCAGGAGACCUCCUGUGCAGCCCCUUUGGUCGCACCAAAGGCCCAGCCCAGCAGCACACCUUCGGAUGCUCUGGGAAGAAGUGGGAGCCCAGGGCAGCUUUUCCAUGGUGCCUGUGGCUUGGCCUGUCUGGCUGAUCCCAGAAAACCAGACCUCAGGAGGCGAGCUCCACAAGGCCCUGGGCAGCCCUGUGCUCUUUGCCCCCUCCUGUAACCACUGUGGCUUUUUUAUUGGCAGUUUCCUGCCCAACCACGAGAUGCCAGAAUAUCGCUUGGCUGAAACGGCUGCACAGCGAGGUACCGUACUACCAUAUAGAUGUGAUGUAGAGAAGUGGGAGCAUGUUACUGCAGCUCUGAAUUCAUAUUCCCAGUGCCAGAGAUCCUGCAAAGGGACUGAUGUGUCCCAUGUCACCCCUUCUCAAAUAAGCACCGAAGAAGCAGUGGGUUCAGGAACUGCUGAGGGAUCAGCAGGGCCAUGUGAAAGGGAGGGCUGGGAACAGGUGGUAGUGGAGAGGGCUGCGAUGCUCCUAGGAAGCCUGGCCAUGAGGAUGGGGAGCCAGGCUAGACAGCAACAGCAAGUCCAUGCGCAGCUGGCAUGGCUGUCUUGUGGGAAGUGUCUCAGAGAUGCAGCUGUGAAAAGCUUUCUUGUUUUGUGCUUCCAGAGGCUUGUGAGCACCUGCUCUCCUACAUCCAUUUUCCUUCCAUCCAGAUGAGGCUGUAGUCUGGUGGCAGAAAGGAGGACUUCGGCAAGG